GUGCUUGCUUCAGCAGCACAUAUACUAAGAUUGGAACGAUAACAGAGAAGAUUAGCAUGGGCCCUGCACAAGGAUGACAUGCAAAUUCGUGAAGCGCUCCGUAUUUUU
rnacentral:snRNA from 1 species